GAGGGUGUAGCUCAGUGGUAGAGUGCGUGCUUAGCAUGCAUGAGGUCCUGGGUUCAAUCCCCAGUAGCUCCA
rnacentral:tRNA from 1 species